rnacentral:rRNA from 1 species
CGGAUGAACGCUAGCGACAGGCCUAACACAUGCAAGUCGAGGGGCAGCACAUGAGUAGCAAUACGAUGGUGGCGACCGGCGCACGGGUGAGUAACACGUAUGCAACCUGCCUGUAAGAGGGGAAUAACCCGGAGAAAUUCGGACUAAUACCGCAUAAUACCACGAGACUGCAUGGUUUUGUGGUUAAACAUUUAUGGCUUACAGAUGGGCAUGCGUAUGAUUAGAUAGUUGGUAGGGUAACGGCCUACCAAGUCUACGAUCAUUAGGGGUUCUGAGAGGAAGGUCCCCCACACUGGUACUGAGACACGGACCAGACUCCUACGGGAGGCAGCAGUGAGGAAUAUUGGUCAAUGGGCGAGAGCCUGAACCAGCCAAGUCGCGUGAAGGAAGAAGGUUCUAUGGAUUGUAAACUUCUUUUGCAGGGGAAUAAAGGACGGUACGUGUACUGUUUUGUAUGUACCUUGCGAAUAAGGAUCGGCUAACUCCGUG